AGGCAUAAAGACCAGAACCCCUAAUUCAGAAAAGAGUCAAUUUCAGAAGGGACUACCAAAGAAAGAAGCCUAAAAUCUUGGUUCUGGUGUGACUCUAGAUGGAAUCUUGCUAUGUUGCCCAGGCUGGAAUGCAAUGGCUAUUCACAGGCAUGAUCCCACUACUGAUCAAUACAGGAGUUUUGACCUGCUCCAUUUCUGAUCUAGGCUGGUUCACCAGGCAACCUGGUGGUUCCCUGCUCCUGGGCUUGUUUCUUGGUAAAUACUUUGUCUAUAUGGAAUGCAUCUAAUAAAUGAAUGCUCUCCUAGCA